rnacentral:rRNA from 1 species
AGCCUAAACCGGGAGGACUUGUCUUCCCGGGGUUGAGGGACCUCGAUGUGCGAGUGCGAGAGUUAGCAGAAUCUUCUGGAAAGUUGAGCCAUAGACCGUGACAGCCGGGUAUGCGAAAACUCAAACACCGCUAGGGGUAUCCCAAGUAACACGGUGCACGUGAAACUCUGUGUGAAUCCGUCCAGACCACUGGAUAAGGCUAAAUACUCGUUGGCAACCGAUAGUGGACAAGUACCGCGAGGGAACGGUGAAAAGAACCCCUGUUAGGGGAGUGAAAUAGUACCUGAAACCAUAUGCCUACAAUGUGUAGGAGCCACCGCAAGGUGGUGACUGCUUGCCUUUUGCAUAAUGAGUCUGCGAGUUAUUGUCAGUGGCCAGCCUAAGCAGUUUUGCUGCGGAGGCGAAGGGAAACCGAGUGCCAAUAGCGCGACCAAGUCGCUGGCAAUAGACCCGAAGCGGAGGUGAUCUACUCUUGAGCAGGUUGAAGCCCAGGUAACACUGGGUGGAGGACCGAACUCGUGGAUGUUGAAAAAUCCUGAGAUGACUUGAGAGUAGGAGCGAAAGACUAAUCAAACCCCGUGAUAGCUGGUUCUCUCCGAAAUCGCUUGAGGGCGAGUGUUGUGGAAGUACCCAGCGGAGGUAGAGCACUGAAUGGCUUAGGGGCCCCACCAGGCUGCCAAAACCAAUCAAACUCCGAAUUCCGUUGGUCUCAGUAUCACAGCAAUCAGGCCGUAGGGGAUAAGCUUUACGGCCGAGAGGGCAACAGCCCAGACCAUCAGCUAAGGUGCCUAAAUGUGAUUAAGUGGAAAGGAUGUGACGUUGCUUAGACAGUGAGGAUGUUGGCUUAGAGGCAGCCAUCAUUUAAACAGUGCGUAAUAGCUGACUCAUCGAGCGAUGUCGCGCCGAAAAUGAUUGGCGAUUAAAUCACAUACCGAAGCUAUGGAUUCAUGACCGGUUCGCCGGACAUGAGUGGUAGGAGAGCGUAAUCAAUGCUGCGAAGUAGAACGGAAACGGACUAUGGAGCGUUGAUUAGUGAGAAUGCAGACACGAGUAGCGAUAAACCAGGUGAGAAUCCUGGUCGCCGUAAACCCAAGGUUUCCUGGGCCAGGUUCGUCCCCCCAGGGUUAGCCGGGAGCUAAGAUGAGGCCGUAAGGCGUAAUCGAUGCACAGCAGGUUAAAUAUUCCUGCGCCAGCUAGGUUAAGGUUGGAGAUGACGCAUGGGAAGACAUCAACUAGGCAAUCGAAUGCUGAGCUUAGGCUUCGGCCGAAGCGUAUUGGUGGGUUCCUGUGCCGAGAAAAGUUUCCAACUGUUCCCGACGCUGCCCGUACCGUAAACCGACACAGGUGGGUGAGUGUAAGCGCACUCAGGCGCGCGAGAGAGACCUCUCUAAGGAACUCGGCACAUUAGCCUCGUAACUUCGGGAGAAGAGGUGCCCUUCGCAAGAAGGGUCUCAGUAAAUUGCGUUUAGCGACUGUUUAACAAAAACACAGCACUCUGCAAAGUCGUGAAGACGACGUAUAGGGUGUGACACGUGACCAAUGCGGAAAGAUCAAGGCGUUUUGUUAGCCCGUAAGGGCAAAAGCUCGGCGCCUAAGUCCCCGUGAAUGUCGGCCGUAACUAUAACGGUCCUAAGGUAGCGAAAUUCCUUGUCGGGUAAGUUCCGACCUGCACGAAUCGUGUAACGACUGAACCGCUGUCUCGGAGAGGAUCUCGGCGAAAUUGUAACUGCGGUGAAGAUGCCGCAUGCCCGCAGUAGGACGGAAAGACCCUAUGCACCUUUACUGUAAGCUGAUAUUGGGUUCUGGUUAAUGAUGCGUAGCGUAGGUGGGAGGCUUCGAAGCGAGGGCUUCGGUUCUCGUGGAGCCGCAAUGUGAAACACCACUCUUUGUUAAUUAGGAUUCUAACCCCAACUCUGUAAGCCAGAUGGGGGACAGUGUCUGCGGGUCAGUUUGACUGGGGCGGUUUCCUCCCAAAUGGUAACGGAGGAGCGCGAAGCUUGGUUCAGUACGGUUGGCAACCGUACGUUGAGGGUAUGGCUAGAAGCCAGGCUAACUGUGAGACCUACAAGUCGAGCAGGUACGAAAGUAGGCCCAAAUGAUCCGACGGUUUAAUGUGGAAUUGCCGUCG